rfam:Myotis lucifugus cont2.31418, whole genome shotgun sequence.
GGAAGUUCUUGGGUGGUGCACCCCAAAAUCGAGCUCCCUCCUCUCUUGUUCCAGGUGCGUUACCCAAGAACCCCA